GUAAGCUACUAAGAGCGAAUGGUGGAUGCCUUGACUGGUAAAGGCGAUGAAGGACGUACUAGACUGCGAUAAGCUACGGGGAGCUGUCAAGAAGCUUUGAUCCGUAGAUUUCCGAAUGGGGCAACCCAAUGUAUAGAGAUAUACAUUACCUAUAUAGGAGCGAACGAGGGGAAUUGAAACAUCUUAGUACCCUCAGGAAAAGAAAUCAAUAGAGAUUGCGUCAGUAGCGGCGAGCGAAAGCGCAAGAGGGCAAACCCAGUGCUUGCACUGGGGGUUGUAGGACUGCAAUGUGCAAGAGCUGAGUUUAGCAGAACAUUCUGGAAAGUAUAGCCAUAGAGGGUGAUAGUCCCGUAUGCGAAAAACAAAGCUUAGCUAGCAGUAUCCUGAGUAGGGCGGGACACGAGGAAUCCUGUCUGAAUCCGGGUCGACCACGAUCCAACCCUAAAUACUAAUACCAGAUCGAUAGUGCACAAGUACCGUGAGGGAAAGGUGAAAAGAACUGAGGUGAUCAGAGUGAAAUAGAACCUGAAACCAUUUGCUUACAAUCAUUCAGAGCACUAUGUAGCAAUACAGUGUGAUGGACUGCCUUUUGCAUAAUGAGCCUGCGAGUUGUGGUGUCUGGCAAGGUUAAGCAAACGCGAAGCCGUAGCGAAAGCGAGUCUGAAUAGGGCGCUUAGUCAGAUGCUGCAGACCCGAAACGAAGUGAUCUAUCCAUGAGCAAGUUGAAGCUAGUGUAAGAACUAGUGGAGGACUGAACCCAUAGGCGUUGAAAAGCCCCGGGAUGACUUGUGGAUAGGGGUGAAAGGCCAAUCAAACUUCGUGAUAGCUGGUUCUCUCCGAAAUAUAUUUAGGUAUAGCGUUGUGUCGUAAUAUAAGGGGGUAGAGCACUGAAUGGGCUAGGGCAUACACCAAUGUACCAAACCCUAUCAAACUCCGAAUACCUUAUAUGUAAUCACAGCAGUCAGGCGGCGAGUGAUAAAAUCCGUCGUCAAGAGGGAAACAACCCAGACUACCAGCUAAGGUCCCUAAAUCUUACUUAAGUGGAAAACGAUGUGAAGUUACUUAAACAACCAGGAGGUUGGCUUAGAAGCAGCCAUCCUUUAAAGAAAGCGUAAUAGCUCACUGGUCUAGUGAUUUUGCGCGGAAAAUAUAACGGGGCUAAAGUAAGUACCGAAGCUGUAGACUUGCACACAACUUAGAUUAUUUAAGUUUAGAAUAUGAGAAACUAAGUUAUAUGUUUAGUUAUAUUUUUACUGAUUUUUAUAGAGUAAAGAUAGAAAUAAAACUUAGUAAAAUCAGUAAAAAUAUUCUUAGGCUAAAGUUAAGUAGUUUAAGUUGUGUGCAAGUGGUAGGAGAGCGUUCUAUUUGCGUCGAAGGUAUACCGGUAAGGAGUGCUGGAGCGAAUAGAAGUGAGCAUGCAGGCAUGAGUAGCGAUAAUUAAUGUGAGAAUCAUUAACGCCGUAAACCCAAGGUUUCCUACGCGAUGCUCGUCAUCGUAGGGUUAGUCGGGUCCUAAGCUGAGUCCGAAAGGGGUAGACGAUGGCAAAUUGGUUAAUAUUCCAAUACCAACAUUAGUGUGCGAUGGAAGGACGCUUAGGGCUAAGGGGGCUAGCGGAUGGAAGUGCUAGUCUAAGGUUGUAGGAGGUUAUACAGGCAAAUCCGUAUAACAAUACUCCGAGAACUGAAAGGCUUUUUGAAGUCUUCGGAUGGAUAGAAGAACCCCUGAUGCCGUCGAGCCAAGAAAAGUUUCUAAGUUUAGCUAAUGUUGCCCGUACCGUAAACCGACACAGGUGGGUGGGAUGAGUAUUCUAAGGCGCGUGGAAGAACUCUCUUUAAGGAACUCUGCAAAAUAGCACCGUAUCUUCGGUAUAAGGUGUGGUUAGCUUCGUACUAGGAUUUACUCCGAAAGCGAAGAAACUUACAACAAAGAGUCCCUCCCGACUGUUUACCAAAAACACAGCACUCUGCUAACUCGUAAGAGGAUGUAUAGGGUGUGACGCCUGCCCGGUGCUCGAAGGUUAAUUGAUGGGGUUAGCAUUAGCGAAGCUCUUGAUCGAAGCCCGAGUAAACGGCGGCCGUAACUAUAACGGUCCUAAGGUAGCGAAAUUCCUUGUCGGUUAAAUACCGACCUGCAUGAAUGGCGUAACGAGAUGGGAGCUGUCUCAAAGAGGGAUCCAGUGAAAUUGUAGUGGAGGUGAAAAUUCCUCCUACCCGCGGCAAGACGGAAAGACCCCGUGGACCUUUACUACAGCUUGACACUGCUACUUGGAUAAGAAUGUGCAGGAUAGGUGGGAGGCUUUGAGUAUAUGACGCCAGUUGUAUAUGAGCCAUUGUUGAGAUACCACUCUUUCUUAUUUGGGUAGCUAACCAGCUUGAGUUAUCCUCAAGUGGGACAAUGUCUGGUGGGUAGUUUGACUGGGGCGGUCGCCUCCCAAAUAAUAACGGAGGCUUACAAAGGUUGGCUCAGAACGGUUGGAAAUCGUUCGUAGAGUAUAAAGGUAUAAGCCAGCUUAACUGCAAGACAUACAAGUCAAGCAGAGACGAAAGUCGGUCUUAGUGAUCCGGUGGUUCUGUGUGGAAGGGCCAUCGCUCAAAGGAUAAAAGGUACCCCGGGGAUAACAGGCUGAUCUCCCCCAAGAGCUCACAUCGACGGGGAGGUUUGGCACCUCGAUGUCGGCUCAUCGCAUCCUGGGGCUGGAGCAGGUCCCAAGGGUAUGGCUGUUCGCCAUUUAAAGCGGUACGCGAGCUGGGUUCAGAACGUCGUGAGACAGUUCGGUCCCUAUCUGCCGUGGGCGUAAGAAGAUUGAAGAGAUUUGACCCUAGUACGAGAGGACCGGGUUGAACAAACCACUGGUGUAGCUGUUGUUCUGCCAAGAGCAUCGCAGCGUAG
rnacentral:rRNA from 1 species